UUUACUUUAGAAUCAAAGGUGCAGCACUUUUAUAUUGAGUUAUGUUUUUAUUAUUUUAAUAUAUUUAAUAUGUUAUGGUUGAAUUUGUUAUUAUUUUUUUUAUUUUUUUGUUUUUAGGUACGAGGUGGCACGAGUGCCCAUUGAUGUGGCUGUUCAGAGGAAGAAGGAGCAUGCAACGAGUGCAGGCACCGGAUGAGUAGAAGUGGUGUGAGUAUAAUAUGGUGUGUUAGAGCUGGUGUGCUGGAGCAGUGGACCAGAAGAGGUGCGGGAUUAUAUGCAGUACAACGAGACAGCGAUUGAACCAAUGUUUCAUACGUAAGGUGGUGUGUUAGAGCGAUGGGCCGGAGGAGGCGUAUGAUAAAAUGGUGUAUUAGCGAAUAGUGAAUGAAAUGUACCAAGCGUAAUUAUUAAUUGAGAGCUACAGCAAACUGCUCAAAUAAAUUUGAAAGAUGAAUAUGAGAAGACAGUUCUAUUA